rnacentral:tRNA from 1 species
GCUGUGAUGGCGAGAGGUUAAAGGCGUUGGACUCGAAAUCAAUGGGGUUUCCCAGCGCGGAGGUUCGAACCCUGCUCGCAGCG